GAUGAACGCUGGCGGCGUGCCUAAUACAUGCAAGUCGAGCGAACAGAUAAGGAGCUUGCUCCUUUGACGUUAGCGGCGGACGGGUGAGUAACACGUGGGUAACCUACCUAUAAGACUGGAAUAACUCCGGGAAACCGGGGCUAAUGCCGGAUAACAUUUAGAACCGCAUGGUUCUAAAGUGAAAGAUGGUUUUGCUAUCACUUAUAGAUGGACCCGCCCCGUAUUAGCUAGUUGGUAAGGUAACGGCUUACCAAGGCAACGAUACGUAGCCGACCUGAGAGGGUGAUCGGCCACACUGGAACUGAGACACGGUCCAGACUCCUACGGGAGGCAGCAGUAGGGAAUCUUCCGCAAUGGGCGAAAGCCUGACGGAGCAACGCCGCGUGAGUGAUGAAGGUCUUCGGAUCGUAAAACUCUGUUAUUAGGGAAGAACAAAUGUGUAAGUAACUGUGCACGUCUUGACGGUACCUAAUCAGAAAGCCACGGCUAACUACGUG
rnacentral:rRNA from 1 species